GAGCCGCAAAAGCUAAGACACACGAGGAAAAGAAGAGGAAUAAGAACAAAGUUAAACAUAAAAAAAGAAGAAGACAAAAGUCAGCACACUCGUUCACUGGAGGUCGGGAGCCGAGUGACUUUGCAGAAGAGGAGAGUUACGUCGGCUACGGGAGUGGCCCUUUCCACCUGCAGAGCCGCUGCGAGCCUCAUCAACAGCGUGCUUGAUUUUGUCCACCCAGAGCAAAGGUCAGGUUUUAAGGAGACGGGGAAAACCCGGAUCUUGGCAGAUGGCGAGCCAGAGGCGUGAGGAAGGAUCACAUUGAAGGCGAUACACAUACACUUUCCUGAGUUUUAAGGAACAAAACAGGUACCUGCAACACUUUUACUAUUAAAGGGCCCCAACGUGCACACUUUUUGGACAUUUGUUUGGACACUUUUGGACACUUUUAGGUUGUUUUGUGUUGGUAAUAUUUGGUAUAUUGUAUAUUUUCCUGCAAGGUAGCCAUUUUCUUAUUUUGCUGUGA